GAUGAAGAACGUAGCGAAAUGCGAUACGUAAUGUGAAUUGCAGAAUUCAGUGAAUCAUCGAAUCUUUGAACGCAUAUUGCGCUCUCUGGUAUUCCGGAGAGCAUGCUUGUUUGAGUAUCAGUAAACACCUCAACUCUUUUUUCUUUUUUGAAAUUGGAGCUGGACUUGAGUGAUCCCAACGCUUUCUUCCAAGAAAGUGGCGGGUUGCUUGAAAUGCAGGUGCAGCUGAACUUUUCUCUGAGCUAUAAGCAUAUCUAUUUAGUCUGCCUAAAAAACAGAUUAUUACCUUUGCUGCAGCUAACAUAAAGGAGACUAGUUCUUGUGCUGACUGAUGCAGGAUUCACAGAGACAGCUUCGGCUGACUUUGUAAACUCGAUCUCAAAUCAAGUAAGAUUACCCGCUGAACUUAAGCAUAUCAAUAAGCGGAGGA
rnacentral:misc_RNA from 1 species